rnacentral:lncRNA from 1 species
AGAUCACUCCCCGACCUGAGGAGCAAGGCGUCUGGAAAACAGCUGCGACUGUAGAUGAAAGGAGACAGAGACUUCUGUGAAUGAUCUGCCCAGCGUCAUGGCCGCGGUGCGCAGUUAGCGCCCCCAGGACCCCUCCCAUCGGCCCUUGAGCUCAGCCCGCGGCUUCUGUCGGCUCCACCCACUCAACUGAGAGGCCCCUGGAGCUGAUGGGGAGACCGAGGCGGUUACCUGCUUCAAAGGCGAUCAGAUCAUGCCAGGGGACUGGGAACAGAAGGCUAGCGAGCGGUGGGGGUGGGGAACGGCCUGAGCUUUAGGACAGAAAGGAUGGAAACUUCUUUAAAAAAGGCGCCACCCUCUGACUGCUUUUUUGCGCCCUGCGCAGCCUCGCUUUGGUGCAGCUUCCUCUGACGUUCUUUCCCUGUAUCCUAAAAAACACUUGGGUCAACAUUUUCUCUCCAAAAUGGCUGAAAGGACGCACUUUUGGAAAAUGAACUCACAGGAAGAAAGUGUCCCUCUGUUUCUACCUAACCUAUACUUCUGUGACCCGGGCUGGUCACAAGGGGGCCGCCCCCUGGCCCCUCCCCUCUCGACGUGCGGCCCCCAACCCCGGAUUCUGCCCUCCUGCAGUGAUGAAUGGCACCGCUGUCCCGCGCAGGCAGGCAAACCUCUUCCUGAAACAGACUCUGCUGGAGGCAACAGCAGCAACAGAUUCUACAGAAAGCCCCUGAAAUGGAGGCUCAGGCCUCACCUAGCUCCAGGCCCGCACUCCACAGAAAAAAAGAUUCACCCGGCGUGGGGGUGGGGGCUUCCAGAGAUGGCAACCCUCUGGCAGGAAUCCCUCAGGAUCCUGUCAGAGCCUGGUCUCUGGGAGUUGACGGAGGGAGGGAGGGAGAGAGAGAGAGAGAAAGAGAGAGAGAUUAUCCCAGAAUGUGCAGGGGAGGAAGCAUAAGCAAGGGCUCAGGCUCAGAGAGACCUGAGCCCAGGCACAUGCUUGCUGUGUGACCUCGGAUAAAACACUUAACUUCUCUGAGCCUUAGUUGUGUCAAUUUUUAAAGAGAAAUUGAAAUAAUAACCCUAGCCCAAUGUGAACACUGAGUCAUAGUAUAUAUCAAGUAAAAGACCUUUUUGGCGAGCUUUAUCUGUCACACCUCUUUUUUCAGUCCGCUCCUGAAAAUCAG